rnacentral:rRNA from 1 species
GACCUGAGAGGGUGAUCGGCCACACUGGGACUGAGACACGGCCCAGACUCCUACGGGAGGCAGCAGUAGGGAAUCUUCCGCAAUGGACGAAAGUCUGACGGAGCAACGCCGCGUGAGUGAUGAAGGUUUUCGGAUCGUAAAGCUCUGUUGUUAGGGAAGAACAAGUGCAAGAGUAACUGCUUGCACCUUGACGGUACCUAACCAGAAAGCCACGGCUAACUACGUGCCAGCAGCCGCGGUAAUACGUAGGUGGCAAGCGUUGUCUGGAAUUAUUGGGCGUAAAGGGCUCGCAGGCGGUUUCUUAAGUCUGAUGUGAAAGCCCCCGGCUCAACCGGGGAGGGUCAUUGGAAACUG